GAAACGACUGCUAAGACUGGAUAGGAAGAAAUAAGGCAUCUUAUUUCUUUUAAAAGAACGAGGAAUAGGUAUACUUUAGGAGGGGCUUGCGCCAUAUUAGUUAGUUGGUAGGGUAAUGGCCUACCAAGACGAUGAUGUGUAGCUGGACUGAGAGGUUGAACAGCCACAUUGGGACUGAGACACGGCCCAAACUCCUACGGGAGGCAGCAGUAAGGAAUUUUCGGCAAUGGAGGAAACUCUGACCGAGCAACGCCGCGUGAACGACGAAGUACUUUGGUAUGUAAAGUUCUUUUAUCAAGGAAGAAAAGCAAGUGGUGAACCAUUUGUUUGCCGGUACUUGAUGAAUAAGCCCCGGCUAAUUAUGUGCCAGCAGCCGCGGUAAGACAUAAGGGGCAAGUGUUAUCCGGAAUUAUUGGGCGUAAAGGGUGCGUAGGCGGUCUAGUAAGACAGUGGUGUAAUGGCAACGCUCAACGUUGUCCGGCUAUUGAAACUGCUAAACUUGAGUUAGAUAGAGGCGAGUGGAAUUCCAUGUGUAGCGGUAAAAUGCGUAAAUAUAUGGAGGAACACCAGAGGCAUAGGCGGCUCGCUGGGUCUUAACUGACGCUGAGGCACGAAAGCGUGGGGGAGCAAACAGGAUUAGAUACCCUGGUAGUCCACGCCGUAAACGAUGAGUACUAAGUGUCGGGUUAAACCGGUACUGAAGUUAACACAUUAAGUACUCCGCCUGAGUAGUACGUACGCAAGUAUGAAACUUAAAGGAAUUGACGGGACUCCGCACAAGCGGUGGAUCAUGUUGUUUAAUUCGAAGAUACCCGAAAAACCUUACCAGGUCUUGACAUGUUUUUGCGAAACGGUAGUAAUAUCGUAGAGGUUAUCAGAAACACAGGUGGUGCAUGGUUGUCGUCAGCUCGUGUCGUGAGAUGUUAGGUUAAGUCCUAAAACGAGCGAAACCCUUAUCGUUAGUUGCCAGCACGUUAUGGUGGGGACUUUAACGAGACUGCCAGUGAUAAACUGGAGGAAGGUGAGGAUCACGUCAAAUCAGCAUGCCCCUUAUGACCUGGGCUACAAACGUGAUACAAUGGCUGUUACAAAGGGUAGCUGAAACGUAAGUUCUUGGCCAAUCCCCAAAAACAGUCCCAGUCCGGAUUGAAGUCUGCAACUCGACUUCAUGAAGUUGGAAUCGCUAGCAAUCGCGAAUCAGCAUGUCGCGGUGAAUACGUUCACGGGGUUUGUACACACCGCCCGUCA
rnacentral:rRNA from 1 species